AUUGAACGCUGGCGGCAGGCCUAACACAUGCCAGUCGAGCGGAUGAAGGGAGCUUGCUCCUGGAUUCAGCGGCGGACGGGUGAGUAAUGCCUAGGAAUCUGCCUGGUAGUGGGGGAUAACGUCCGGAAACGGGCGCUAAUACCGCAUACGUCCUGAGGGAGAAAGUGGGGGAUCUUCGGACCUCACGCUAUCAGAUGAGCCUAGGUCGGAUUAGCUAGUUGGUGGGGUAAAGGCCUACCAAGGCGACGAUCCGUAACUGGUCUGAGAGGAUGAUCAGUCACACUGGAACUGAGACACGGUCCAGACUCCUACGGGAGGAAGCAGUGAGGAAUAUUGGACAAUGGGCGAAAGCCUGAUCCAGCCAUGCCGCGUGUGUGAAGAAGGUCUUCGGAUUGUAAAGCACUUUAAGUUGGGAGGAAGGGCAGUAAGUUAAUACCUUGCUGUUUUGACGUUACCAACAGAAUAAGCACCGGCUAACUUCGUG
rnacentral:rRNA from 1 species